GUAGCCAACACAUGGAAACGUAGACAAAUCGUUAGAGGCCGGUUUACACCGUAGCAUACAGAAAUAGCACGGCACACCACCAAGUCAAGCGGUCCGCACAAAGCUAACGAUUAUUUUCGCACUCGUGUUGGCAGUACGGCCUGAGAGGGUUGGCACCGGCCAGUGAGUUAGGACCCCGUUUCAGGGGCUUUUUAUUCCCUCGAAAAGGAUUUAAACCCGACGCCUUCAUUCCGCGAAUACCGCGCAGGAGUCCCGUAGCAUCGGCACGCCAUUGGCCAGUCGCGCACCACGAGUCACGCUGUGAGAAAUGCUCGGGAGACUCGGUGUCUUACGGGAGAACGCGGACUUACUUCGUAUACCUUGUUGAGUUAGCACCUUUUGUUUAUACGGCUGGAGAUGGUGUAUUUGUCGUCGUGGUAUGCCUGGCGUUCCUUCUCUCAAGGGCGGCGUGUGAUUUCUGAUUGGCAAAUAGCCGGAAUUUCGCCAGGGGAUUCUAACCUCGUAUCUUGGCCUUCUGGGUUACGGUGGUCGUACUGUGACAGUCCUGCUCGUCAACGUGUAACAUGGACUGCGCGUAGACAUAGGAAAAACGGACCCCAUAGAGAGCCCCGGGCACACUCCGCGCAAUGGUCCAUCGUUCCUCUUGUGUUCUUGGAGAUACGGUGUAUAUAUGUACAGAGAGAGAGAGAGGAGGAUGAACGAUCAAGAUGAUCCUCGAAUAAAAGGCCACGAGCAAGGGAGCUGGAGGAUGAGAAAAUAAUCAUUGUGAUUAUCUUAUAUUAGGCCUCCGGUAAUUCGUUGCACGUUGUAAACCUAGAGCUGCCGCUCCCGUCGCUGCCGUUCCUGCAUUCACCCCUUUGGCAUUCCAGGACCGUACCAUUCCUUAUGCAACGUACGUCUCGCAGUAUCAAUUUCAAUGGU